rnacentral:misc_RNA from 1 species
UCCCAUGCAUAGGUUAUAAGGUCCCUCUCUUCUUCUUCUUCACCAUGACGGAAUUUAUUGCACUUUUGGCCACUAAUAAUUUCCAAAAUCAAUACACCAAAGCUAAAAACAUCUGACUUUACUGAGAGGAUCCCUUGAAAUGCAUACUCUGGAGCCAUGUAGCCAAAGGUUCCCACAAUUUUACUUGUAGCAUCCUCAGAUUGAUCUGUUGGAAACA